rnacentral:rRNA from 1 species
ACGAACGCUGGCGGCGUGCCUAACACAUGCAAGUCGAACGGAGUUGAGGAGCUUGCUCCUUAACUUAGUGGCGGACGGGUGAGUAACGCGUGAGUAACCUGCCUCUGAGAGGGGAAUAACGUUCUGAAAAAGGACGCUAAUACCGCAUAACACAUAUUUGCCGCAUGACAGAUAUGUCAAAGAUUUUUAUCGCUCGGAGAUGGACUCGCGUCCGAUUAGUUAGUUGGUGAGGUAACGGCUCACCAAGACCGCGAUCGGUAGCCGGACUGAGAGGUUGAUCGGCCACAUUGGGACUGAGACACGGCCCAGACUCCUACGGGAGGCAGCAGUGGGGGAUAUUGCGCAAUGGGGGCAACCCUGACGCAGCAACGCCGCGUGAAGGAUGAAGGUUUUCGGAUUGUAAACUUCUUUUCUCAGGGACGAAGAAUGACGGUACCUGAGGAAUAAGCUCCGGCUAACUACGUGCCAGCCGCGGC